CCAAAACCUUUAGGAUUAAUUUUAUUUUCUACUCAUUCCUCUCAUUUGUUAGAAAUGUUCUUUGUGUUAAAAUGGACAUUGUCUAGUUUAGAUUAUAUGUGGAUGCUAAAGUGGUGCGGCAGCCUUUAGUCUUCCCCUUUGUUCUGUGUGGCUAUUGUCAUGAUGCCUUAUACCCCAAAUUCCUUUUUGUAUGUUAUGCUUUGCUUUACACAAUAACAUCCUUUAGAUCUGAUCCUUUGAUGUGCUUUAGCUAUUUGUAGAUUUCCCUUUGAAAUUUGUAUUCCCCUAUUUGUUCCUCCAUGUAGACAAUUAGCAAGGAUUCCCUAUAAUGUUUAUCACAUGCAUCUAGUUUCUUCAAUCAAUUUACACUUGUAAAUGGUUGCUUUUCCUUUGCACUAGAAGAUUUUGUGUUUCUUUUAAGAAAUCUUGAAUUGAUUGUUUCAAAGAAGGUUACUAAUGUGAUAGAAAUAAUUACAACCCUCAUCCACUAAACAUGUAUUAUUGCGUCCACCUAGAACAUGAACAAUGCUUACAAUGUCUGAACAUGUUCCAGAGUGCAUCAUUAAUUCAAAUAUUUUGAGACCUUCCUUGCAAAAUCAAUUUUGUGCAUAUCCUGCAAUCAUUCCAUUCCAUGAGAUGAUAGUUGUUUUAUGCAUUCUGUCAAACUGUUCAGGUACUUUGUCUGUGAUUUAUGUUUUGCAUUUAUCUCUACCUCAUUUAAACUAUAAUGAUUGACAACAAUCCCCCCACCAUUAUGCUUUGAUAAACCUAUAUCCCCAGUUCCAAAGCUGUCAUUUUUGCACAGGCAGAGAGGAUGCUGGCAAAAAUUUGGCUUUGCACCUAUGAAUUCAGUUUUCUUGAAAGUUUCUUAACCCUUCUCAACAAAUUCAUUGUUUACAUAUCGUACAAUAACUGCAUUAUGGCUAAUGUUAUUUUUAUUCUAUAACAUGUGUGGUGAGAAUUUGUAAUUUUUGAGUUAGUUUAGUUGCCCAUUUCAUGUCAUUCCUCUAAUCUUGUUAGAUAUUUGAGUAAAAUAUUUCUCCUAUGAAAAUUAUUAAAGGUUUAGUUAUACUUAGGACCCUUCUGACUGUGGUGCAUGUAUUUUUCAAAUGUUACAAUCAUGGUGGUUGACUUAGUCUCAGAAUAGAUAGAUAUUAAGCUAGUUUGCAUUUCUAGUUUGAGAAAUAUCUACGAUUCCUAAACUAUUAUGCUUGGCUGUCUAACAGGGUUAAAAUUCAAGUAGAAUUAUAAUGAUAGUUCCCAUCUGAAAAUCUAAUGGAUAUAGUUGUUGCUGAAAUCAUCUUGGCUGUUUAUUUCAUAAAAUGUCCAAUUGGGAUCUUAAUAAAAUUAUUACAUAGCUUGCAGCAAAGCUUUAUUCAAAAUUUUGUUUGUGCUUAAAAAUUCGAAAACUUCCAAUUUUUAAAAGAGACUCUUUCUCAAGGGUAAAAUUUCAGCAGAAUUUUGAUCAUAGUCCUAGUUCGAAAAAAUAGUGAACACAAAAGAGGUAGAAAUUUAAGACACGAUAGCUUUAAGUAAAAUUUAUAACAUUAUUCGGAAGAUGUUGCUUUUAUAGCACACAUGAAAGAUUUUGCUUAGGCCCUAGUUAUGACUUUGUUGGAGAGCUGUGUGAUCAUUCACUAUUAUAGUUGCUGAUUUUCAGUGGCUACCUUUGCACGAUUCCCUUGCAUUUGAUGAGCAUAUUGUUGAGGACCAUAUAUAAUAAAUUGAUUGUUGGCUUUCUGUGAAUAAUUAGUUUGGAUUUGUAGUUUGAUAAAUAUGUAUGAUACUUGAACUAGAUUCUGACUGGGUUGUUGUGUUUAUAGUUGACAGCUAUUUGUAUAUAAUGGCUGCAAAUAUAUCUACUUUUCCUGGUAAUCUAAUCUUGAUUUUUAACAAAACAAAUCAAUUACUAAGUAUUGAAACAUGCGAGGUAGAAAUUUAAUUAGAUAUUACUCAAUAUUCCAAUUGGAGAUAUUACAAUAUGCAACAUGGAGAUUGUCUAAAGUAGAUUAAUUCAACUUAGCCUCCUUUUAAAAUUGUUUGUUUUUAUAUUUAAAAAAAUGGAUGUGCGUGAUAAAGUCAACUGACAUAGCACAUAGCAAAUGCCUUUGAGCGUGUAGACACCCUUGUUUUGGAGACAUUGCACACACAUGCCCGGCAAAGCCUUCAUAAAACUUGUAAUGCAUUAUUAACACAAUCUAUAGUGUAAUAACCAUGCUUUGAAAUGGCACCGAUCAUUGUCUACAUCAAACAUCUAUUAAUAUAUUGGCAGUCCUCAUUUUCAAGAGUAUUAAAAAGUGCCUUUGUAUUCUUGACUAACUCCAUUGAAGCCCAAACUUUGAAAUAUAAAUCCUUUGUACAUCUUCUACUCAAUCAACAUAGACAAGGAAAAAACACUUUAUCAAUUGUAAAAUAGCUUACUACUACUUUAUUGUUCUUGUCUACAGUCAUUUCUCAACAACACGCUUUUAGUAAUCUUGUUUUUAUAUUACCAGGUCUUUGAAUGCAGAAGAUGAAAACAAUCACAAAGCUUGCAGAAGAUGAAAACAAUCCCAAAGCCUACACAGAAGCUCAGGACACACAGAAAAGUCUACACAGAAAUUGAGUCAGAACAUGAAAAUGAAAUUAAACAGUUCACUAACACUAUACUAGUUUUGUACAUAGUCAACUGACAAACAAUGCUCAGUACUAUUUUGUCAAGACAUGCAAUCAAUCAUUUCUUGCUUGGUUUUGUUGCUUAAUUUUGUGACUUUACUUUGUUGUGAAAUCAAAGCUAUGAGAAGUUGUUUUAUGCUUUUA